CCUGUAAGAUUUUGCAUGAUUUAUGAAUAACCUACAGACAGAAAGCAAACCUAUUUUGCAUUAGGCAUACCUGUGACACACUGAUCAGGUCUUUCUCUUGGGGAUUCCUGGAUGUUUAAUAAAGUUUAAGCUGCAGCUGGAGUUUUUCCCAUGUUCAGUACACAGAUAAGGGGUCUCUUCUGUGUGGUUUUCCUGAUGUCUGAGAAAGGCUGAGCUCUGACUGAAGUUUUGUCUCCAUUCAGUACAAAUGUCGGACUUCUCUCCCAUCUGGGUUUCCUGACGUUGAAGAAGCUUUUCCCCCAUUCUGGGCACUCAUGGGGCAUCUCACCAAUAUGGAGUCUCUCAUGUGUAAAAAGCUAGGCGGACCCGAUAUUUUGGUGACAGUUGCUGGCGACCCAGAUGGGACUCUCCUAGCUCAGACAUUGGACUCCGGAUGGCUGCAGCGAACUGGGAACAGUGCCAACAGGGUGUUUCAGCUCUUUUCUCUGCUUCACUGCGGCCCCUGUGGUUCGUGUACCGAUAAGCACAUGUCCUACUCAAGGCUGGUUGCUAAGAGCUAUUUCAACUGCUCUCUGUCAUGCUGGGGAUCUGCCUUACAUUGGGGAAACUCCUUCAGCUGCAUGGCCUAGUUCUGCUAUUGGAGCAACAUGAGGGGUCCUGUUGGACCGGCCUUGAACCUGCAACUGGCUUCAUAUGGACAGACCUUUGUAUGCACAUAGAGGCCCGGAUAUUCACCGGAGGCCGGGGGCGAGAGAAAAAGAUGGAUAUAAAUAAUGACACAUCAGGCUAUAAUGGGGAAAGUUCUUCAGCUGCUGCUCACCCUCCGAUUAGUAAGAAAGGGAGAUGCCUCCCUCAAAGACCAUAUACAGAGUGCAGAAGCAUCCAAAGGACAGGAUAAGGUCACAAGACACAAUGCCGGUUGGA